UACGUAGGGGGCAAGCGUUGUCCGGAUUUAUUGGGCGUAAAGAGCGUGUAGGCGGCCAGGUAGGUCUGCUGUGAAAACUCGAGGCUUAACCUCGAGCUGUCGGCGGAAACCAUCUGGCUAGAGUCCGGAAGAGGAGAAUGGAAUUCCCGGUGUAGCGGUGAAAUGCGCAGAUAUCGGGAAGAACACCCGUGGCGAAGGCGGUUCUCUGGGACG
rnacentral:rRNA from 1 species